GCAUUUUGUAUACCAGCUGGAAAGUGCAUAACCAGCAAGGUGCUGAUGCUGCACACACACUUGGCACAACUCAUUUCUCCAUGUAGGACAUUGACUCAUGUGCCAUGAGGGCCAGACAGAGACAAUUAGAAAGUGUUCUUCUCCAUAAGCAUCCCACUACUAACACCAUUUUACACACUAGGGGAAACCAAGGCACAGAAGGAUGGAGUAACUCCUCCCAACAAAAUGUGGACAGUGGUGAACAGGAAGAGCAUGUUAAGGAGGAUAAAGUGAUUCUGCCACAGUGUCCCCUACAGACUGCUGCUGCAAAUGGCCAAGACUGGGGAACCAGGACACCUAUUUAUGAGGCAAGAGACCCAUCUGCAGGAAUGGGCAGGAAAUAAAUACAGAGAGGAGAAAAACUUGAUUGCUGUGUACUUAAAAAGGUGGAAAUGGCACAACAUGAGGCACUGAGGGCACUACACAGUGUCAUGGGAAAUAAUCAAAGCACACACCCCGAUUCUCAUGCCCUGGCUUAUCAUGGAGAUGGGUGCGUGAGCUUCUCCUUUCUCUCUCUGUUGCAAAAUCCUACAGUCAUAAGGCUCAUGCAGUUUAAGCAAUGGGAUGGGAGUGACAAUAUGGAAGAAGUUUAGCAACCAUGUCACCUCAAGUCCCCGGAUCUGCUGUGGCACUGAGCCAUGAGGGCACAGCAGGGAAGGCCUGCUGAAGGACCUGCUGCAGGGAGGGCAGGCUGCCUGCUCCUGUCACCAAAGCCAGCUGAACACCAAAAUCACUCCUUAGCCUUCCUUGUCCAGCCUGGGGCCACCCAGCUCCAAGGCAUGAAGCACCUCAUGAAAGAGGUCUCUGCCUUAAGCUAAGGAAUAGACAUUCACAGUGUAUACACAUUGUGAAUGGUUCUGGACACCUCAGCCCUAAGUGUGCAGGGCUCCAGGGUGGCCUGAAUUCUUGCAUGGUCAUUUGCCUUCAUAAUUGCAGAAAAUUGCAAUUUAGGCUAUGUAUAGAGCAUCUCUGUAGCUGGUAGGAGCACUAGUGGCUUCAAGGCUUCAAGGAAAGACCCGAAGAACUGUGUGGUGGAUACUGCUAAGAAGUGCUAUACUUCACAGCCUCUCAGCCCUCAAUCUCCCCAAGUCUCAGAGCCAGGAAAAAGCCUUGAGUUCAUGAGCUGUGGCAGCCUAAAAGCACCUCGCCUAAUAGGUCACCAGGAAAAUGCUCUGGCCUGAUUUUAAGG
rnacentral:lncRNA from 1 species